rnacentral:lncRNA from 1 species
AACUCAUUGAAUUCUGGCAGACAGAGGUUCCUCAGCUGCUUCUCACUCUGGAUGGCUGCAAUGAUGCUAUCACCCCACCGCUCAACCAGUGGACAUAUCAGACUAUGACUCAUGAACUAGUGGGCAUAAACAACAACCAGAUUGAUCUUUCCAGAGUGCCAAGAAUGAGCAGACUUAAGAGAGAUGGUCCUGUUUGCUGAAAAUGAUGAACUCUAUGCUAAUAACAUGUACCUGAACUCUGCUGAGAUUGGUAGCAAUCUCAUGGAAGACUCCCAGAAGACAAGACCAAAAGAGCAGCGAAAGCUAGAAUCCAUAGCAGACAUGACUGCCUUUGUUGAAAAUUAUCCAUACUUCAGGAAGAUGUCUGGGACUGUCUCAAAACACAUGACAUGACAGUGGUUGGAGAACAGUCUCGGUUGGUCAGUGAGCGAAAUCUGCUGGAAGUUUCAGAGGUUGAGGAAGAACUGGGCUGGCAGAGUGACCAUUCUAGUGCUCUCCAGAAUGUGAAGAGAACCCUGCAGAAACCAAAAGUUACAGAAUUUGAUGCAGUUCACCUGGUGAUGCUUUAUGCUCUCAACAUUAUGAGCACCACAGCAGCAACAGCCUGCCAGGACUCAUAGAGGACCUCAGGAGUAAAGGUGUUGCUGAGAAGUAUCGGAAGCUUGUGUCUGCAGUUGUGAAUAUGGUGGUAAACGGGUUAGAGGGAGUGACCUCUUCAGCCCCAAAGAUGCUGUGGCUAUUACCAAACAGUUUCUCAAAGGAUGGAAGGGAGUGGAAAAUGUGUAUACACAGCACCAGCCUUUCCUGCAUGAAACCCUGGACCAUCUCAUCAAAGAAAAGCUUAAGGAAAAUCUUUAGCCUUAUUUAGGCCGCAGCACACUCAGAGACAAGCCUCAGGAUAUCAUUGUGUUUGUUAUUGGAGGAGCCAUCUAUGAAGAGGCACUGACAGUCUAUAACCUGAACUGCACCACUCCUGGAGUGAAGAUCGUUCUGGAACAAUACACAACACAAAAAGUUUUCCAGAGGAAGUCCUGGCUUCUGCGCUGCAUAGCCAUAGCAGGGAGAGCUCACAGGCCACCCCAAGGCCAACAAGCAG